AAAGAGAGAGAGCCCGCACAUCUCGUGGGUGUGCACCCGGGCGCACGCACAGCCCACACUCCAUCCUGGGCAUCUCCAUGGCUCUCAGGAUAAUAUGAAAGUCUAUCGUGGAUCAAUAGGUACACCCAGCCUCAAAUAUUAUCUAUUACAAAAGUUAAAACUCUUUACCCACGGCCUUCUCUCACCGCGCAUACCUCGGACCUAAAUUCAAAUCCUUUCCACCCUCCGCUUUUGACUGAGGCCAUUUGGGAAUUGCCUGCCCUCCUCCACCAGACCCGAGUUCCUUAUGGGCCCAGUGGGGGCUCCUGAAAUUCAGUUCCCAGGACUGGGAUUGAAACCAUUGGUGCCCCUGGCUCUCGGGCUUUUGGACUCAGGCUGAAUUAUACCACCAGAUUUCCUCGUCUCCAGCUUGCAGAUGACAAACCCUGGGACCUCUCAGCCUCCAUAAUCAUGAACCCAUUCCUCAUAAUAAAUUCCCUUUUAGAGGCCAGAAAGCUGAUAAUGCAAGGAAGCAUCUGCCUACUGAUGCCUCCAAAGCAGAUGCGCAGAAUGGAUGUGGAAUAAAGGUACCUAUUGGUCCCAAGAGGUCAACAUCUGUGGAAGGGCAGAGCAGGCAACAGUGGGAGGCAGAGGUUGGCUUAUGAUAAAGUCUCAACCAAAGUCCCAGCUGACCCCAUGGGGAGCUCUGUAACUGAUAUGGUCCUUCAGAUUAGCAAUUAGAGGAGGAGAAAAAUAUAUAAUUGUAUUUUUAUAUGAAGACAGAUUCUCAAUAUGUGUGUGUACAUGUUGUUUCAGAGCAAAUUCACAGGAAAGCAAACUAAAAUGGAGAUUAGUGUGGAGGAAGUUUCUUGGAGACUACUCUUAGGAGCAACAUGAGGGAAAGGAAAGGGAAGGAAGCAUUCUUCCUAGGCCAAUAUUUCAGAUUCCUUUAUGGAAAAAAAUAUUCACUGAAAGCCUACUAUGUGCCAAGUACUAGCCAUUGACGAUCCAGCAGCGAUCAAAAUCUCCCUGCCCACAUGGAGCUUUUCCUCCUACUAGGGAAGAAAGACAACCAACAAACACAGAAACUUAACACAAGGUUGGAGACUUGUAAGUAUUAUUAAUAAAGAAAAAAAAAAUAAAGCAAGACUAGGGAAUAGAGUGAUGCAAUCAUUUUAGAUACA